UACGUAGGGGGGCAAGCGUUGUCCGGAAUCAUUGGGCGUAAAGCGCGUGGUAGGCGGCUGGCUAAGUCCGCUCUGAAAGCCCGGGGCUCAACCCCGGGAGGCGGGUGGAUACUGGUCAGCUCGAGUCCGGAAGAGGAGUGUGGAAUUCCUGGUGUAGCGGUGAAAUGCGCAGAUAUCAGGAGGAACACCUAUUGCGAAGGCAGCUCGCUGGGACGUAACUGACGCUGAGACGCGAAAGCGUGGGGAGCAAACAGG
rnacentral:rRNA from 1 species